GCUCCCAUCGUCUAGCCCGGCUAAGGACAUGGGGCUUUCAACCCCAGAACACGGGUUCAAAUCCCGUUGGGAGCA
rnacentral:tRNA from 1 species